GAAUAAGUAAUGUGAAUUGCAGAAUUCAGUGAAUCAUCGAAUCUUUGAACGCACCUUGCGCUCCUUGGUAUUCCGAGGAGCAUGCCUGUUUGAGUGUCAUGA
rnacentral:rRNA from 1 species